rnacentral:lncRNA from 1 species
GACUAACACUUCAAAAUAAAAGUACAAAAUCAAAAAAACUAUGAUUUGGACCCUUGCAACUAUGCUAAAGUACCCAUGUUCUGCAUUUCUUUUAAAUUAUGUCGAACACAUUAAUGAUGUUUGUGACUCAUUUUUUCUAUAGUUUGAACGUCAAAGAAUCCAAAAAAAAUUAUUUUGUGCACCAGUUCCAUCGACUAACACCUCAAAAUACAAGUAUAAAAUAAAAACAACUAUGAUUUGGACCCUUGCAACUAUGCUUAAGAGCCCAUGUUCUGCAUUUUUUUAAAAUUAUGUCGAACACAUUAAUGAUGUUUGUGACUCAUUUUUUUUGUAGUCUGAACGUCAAAGAAUCCAAAAAAAAUUAUUUCGUGCACCAGUUCCAUAGAAUAACAC